rnacentral:lncRNA from 1 species
AGAAGUGGGGGAGGGGAGGAACUUGCCUUCCUUAAGAUUAUCUCUUGAUACUUCGUUCUUCAGUGGACUGAGGUCUCUCCUGGAGUAGCCGAUAAGGUUGGCAGAAGCUUUGGGUAGGACUUUGUUGGCGUUUGAGCCAUGGCCUGGGCAAGCUGAGCGAUGGGUCUCUGGAGCUCAGGAGGUUUGGGUUGGCCUCUGACAUCUCUCUUCAUCACCACGGCACUGCGCUGCUGUUCAGGGAGAGCUACAUCUAAUUCCCAGCUGAGACUGAGCUGUCAAACAGGAAGUCAAACAAUGCCUUUUUUGAAGGACUGGUUCUUAUUCUGAGGUUGAAACCACAAUCGCUGGAGAUGGUUGAUGUCAGCACCAUCUUCUGGUUGACUAGCGGAAGACGCCUCCCAUGAAAGGAAAGCGACUGUGUCUCUGGGCUGGUGUUUCCAGUGAAGGGGCAGCAGAAUGGACAGCUUUGCCUUCGAGUCUUAGACCACUUCCUACUGCUAUGAUGACUAAGUACUUGAGGCUGGGGAAUCAUAAACAUGGACCCAGGGAAGGUCAGAACCAGGUGGCUGCACCUGUUAGCAUCUGGUGAAGCAGUAUACCAUGCAGCUGAGGUCACAUAGUGGGGGGGGGGUGGUGGUGGUGUGCAGUAAUGAACACGGAUAAAGGGGACAGAGGGGCUGGCCACUUUCUAACAACCCAUUCCAGAGAACAAAUCCAUUCCUUCGAAGAUUACUAGUCUUGCCCAGAUGUGAUACACAUCUGUCAUCCCAAAUGAAGGCAGUUUAGUAGAUCAAGCCCAGCCUGGGUUACUCAAGACUUUGCCUCAAUAUGAUUUUGUCCUUGUGUUUCCUAUUUACUUUGUAUUUUCUAUUCAUUAACAUUAACCUCACAGCUAACCACACUAACAGGCAUUUUCUUCCUGAGGCAUGUCUUUCAGGACUUAGACGCUCAUGAUACUAGAUAGCCCUUCAGCAUGAUACACCGAAAUCACCAACAAAAAAGAAAAAGGCAGGCCAGGGGUAUAGCUUAAGAUAGAGGGCUUCCUUAAUGUGUUCUUGAAAUUCGGUUCCACUCAUAGCAACACAUGCACCGCCCUCCCCUCCCCCCCCCAAGACACACACACAUACAUACCACACAGGCAUACAGAUAAGAGAGUAUUUCUCUGUUUGACCUCAGCUGGAAAAUGUUUGUUGGUAAUUCUUUUAUCCUCCCAGGUGCACACAUGUCCACACCCGACCAAGAAAACACCCUGAAUAUUGAUUUGGGGGAUUAUCAGUGACCUUCAGUAAGCAGGAAAAUUCAGGUAUUCAGAAUUGGUGUGGUGAGGAUUACCUGGAUGUUAAGUGUCCAUUUGCUAAAUGCUCAGGGAACGGCUGCAAGAGAAGUCAAACAUAUGUGCUGUUUGCUGUCAGAUUGCCCAGAGACCAGGCCAGGGCCGGAAAACAAACCAACAACUUGCUCUGCAAACAAAUAAAUUCAUCAUUACAAACUGUGGCCAGGGCCCUAAGGGUACUGAGGAGGUUCAGUGUUGAGAGUGGUAGAUGCCUGGGUGGUUGGGAGUGAGCUCUGUGAAACAUAAGGGUUGGGAGAAGCUAGCUGUGACAAGAGGAGCAGGGGAAGUCACAGGGUCUGCAUUAGCCAUGGCCCUGUGAUAGGAACGCCUGGCAUGCUUUCCAUUCUCACUCCACGGACUCGGAUCUUCCUCGUUACUACAAACACUGUUCCAGCCGAGUGACUUUCUCAGACAUCUGCUCAGCUUGCGCCUGUCUCUUUCCAGAUGUCAAUCAAGUUUCCCCCAUCAUCCUAAUUAAAAUACAACCCCCCACACACUUCCACUCCUCUUUCAUCUCUGCAUCAACUGCCC